rnacentral:rRNA from 1 species
UACGUAGGGUGCGAGCGUUGUCCGGAAUUAUUGGGCGUAAAGGGCUCGUAGGCGGUCUGUCGCGUCGGGAGUGAAAACUCAGGGCUUAACCCUGAGCCUGCUUCCGAUACGGGCAGACUAGAGGUAUGCAGGGGAGAAUGGAAUUCCUGGUGUAGCGGUGAAAUGCGCAGAUAUCUGGAGGAACACCGGUGGCGAAGGCGGCAUCCUGGACCAACACUGACACUGAGGAGCGAAAGCCAGGGGAGCAAACGGG